rnacentral:rRNA from 1 species
CCUACGGGCGGCAGCAGUGAGGAAUAUUGGUCAAUGGACGAGAGUCUGAACCAGCCAAGUAGCGUGAAGGAUGACUGCCCUAUGGGUUGUAAACUUCUUUUAUAUGGGAAUAAAAUGUUCCACGUGUGGGCUUUUGUAUGUACCAUAUGAAUAAGGAUCGGCUAACUCAGUGCCAGCAGCCGCGGUAAUACGGAGGAUCCGCGCGUUAUCCGCCUUUAUUGGGUUUAAAGGGAGCGUAGGUGGCUUGUUAAGUCAGUUGUGAAAGUCUGCGGCUCAACCGUAAAAUUGCAGUUGAAACUGGCAGUCUUGAGUACAGUAGGGGUGGUCGGAAGUCGUGGUGUAGCGGUGAAAUGCUUAGAUAUCACGAAGAACUCCGAUUGCGAAGGCAGCUGACUGGGCUGCAACUGACACUGAGGCUCGAAAGUGUGGGUAUCAAACAGGAUUAGAUACACGAGUAGUC